rnacentral:misc_RNA from 1 species
GAUUAUGCCUCAACAGAUGAGGAUGCCUCAACAGAGGAUGCCUCCAGAUAUGAUGAUGCCUCAAAAUAUGAUUAUGCCUCAACAGAUGAGGAUGCCUCAACAGACGAUGAAGUCUCAACGGAUGAUGUAUCCAAACUCACAAUCUCAAUCCACAACCCCCAAAAGUUCUAUUUCUGCCAAAUCUACAAAUAAGAAACGGGGCCAGGAUUGGUGUGGCCUUUGUGGUAAAUUUUUUUUCCACCUAUGGAGACAUUUUACUAACAAACAUCAAACCGAGCCAUAUGUCAUCUCACUGAUAAAGCUGCAAGCGUUAAACAUAGAAGAAUUUGACAGACAAUGGGCAACAUUAAAAUCAGAAAUGCUUAAGAAAAGUGGACUUGUAGAUGCUCAGACAAUCAUAUGUGAUUGCGGCAGGAGGUGCAAACGCUCUACCAUCGCACAGCAUAUUCGUUUGUAUUGCCCUAAGAACAAGGACAUAGUAAAUCGAAGAAAGAAAGUAAAAGAACUGAGAUCAAAAGCGUCUUCCGAUGACUGGCACCCUAAAUUGUUUAAGGAGCUGUCUCUGAGCAUGAAAAAAGAUGAGGUCUAUCAUAUUGGAGCUAAAGAUGUUAUUCUUGUUGGGUAUAUAACAAAUGCAUUGGAAAACCGGACUGAUCAAGAUGACUAUGGUACCAUCAAAACUAGAUUUAGGAUGAUCUCAAAGAUAAUUGCCGCGGUGUCGGAAGCUGCAGGGAAAGAACUUAGUAUGUUGGAAGUCCUUAAUGUCAAAAAGUACUGGAAGAUUAUGACGGAUCUUGGAACUGGUAAAUUGAAAACUGACUUCUUCAACUUCAAAGCAGUCUCAUUAGAGUUUCCGAAAGCCUUGGGAAUUAUGGCAGCACAGGCUUUAAAGCAUUUACGGGAAACCGGCAGUGAUCCAAAGCUGAUAGAAGAUGUAAAAGAGUUCCAGCUCCACAGGAAUGAGUACUGGAACCAGGAUGUGGGGAAGAAAUUAUCAGUGGAGAAGAAGAUAUUGAAAUUUAAUAAAGCACUAGUGAUGCCUACCAAAUCUCUUGUUGAAAGUUCUGAUUCUCUGGAGGAGCAGAGUACAUCCAGAUCCAAGAAGCAGAAGAUGACAAAGCCUAAAGAGAAUCUUUUUACACCUAAGAGAGAAAGAAUGGAAUCUUUAAUGACUGGAAAAGUAAUAAUCUCUCCAUAUGAACAUUCGAGAAGGAGACUUAAGGAGGACUACAAAGAGCUUUUAAAGAAUUUGAUGCCAUUCCUCCCAGAAGGCCGAAGAUGGAUGAUGCCAGGAAGGUAAUGGAGAGGGCAGGAUUACCCUGGGACACUUUACUACAUAACAAAGUUGAAAACUUCCUGAAUGCAGAGAAGGAGAGAAGAACAAAUAUAUUGGCGUGUAAAACUGACCUUCU